CCUAUUUCUUUUCUCCUCUGUCGCUGGUUUCUAGAGGCCACCUUUGCAUCCUCUUUAUCUUGCUUUUCACCUUCCUUCGCCUUUUCCUUCUUUAAUUUUUAUCUCUCAUCUGUUCUUGAACCAAAGCUGCUAGGUAUUACUCAAGGGCAUCUAACAUGUUAGAAAAGAGGAGUUGUCAGCUCUGAUUCUCUCCUUCCUCAGGCACUAAGCAGGACUCUAUAUGUCAAUUUACCAAUCUGGAUUCAUAAGCACCAUUGCAAGACUUUAAAGGUCAUCCAUAUUGUCUGCAGUUAUGUGCCAAGUUCUAUGAGUUAGGUGAGUAAAAAAUGUUCAUGUGCUUCAACUCAUCUGUAUCAGCUGUAUCUGGGAAAGACUCUUCAGCCCAUCAGUGUUGAAACUGUCACCUUCUGUUUGAAUGAAGUUUCUUAGAACAAUGAAUUUCAAAUGAAGCUGCAAAGAGCUGUAAUCCCAGUGGCCUGGGAGGCUGAGACAGGAUGAUCACUUGGAGUGAGGCAUCACAACAGGGAACUAAGAAUGGGGACUGAUUUUUUUAGAAAUGCCUGUGGACACAUCAUGCUUACCCACAAGUCUAUGCCUCUACCAGAUGAUGAAAGAGACUCAGAUGUUCACUAAGCUCAUGCAGCUCAAAAGUGCCAGUUGGGAUUUUUACAUCCAGG